UUCAUGGAGAGUUUGAUCCUGGCUCAGGACGAACGCUGGCGGCGUGCCUAAUACAUGCAAGUCGAGCGGACCGACGGGAGCUUGCUCCCU
rnacentral:rRNA from 1 species